GAUGAACGCUAGCGGCAGGCUUAACACAUGCAAGUCGAGGGGCAGCGUAAUGAAGUAGCAAUACUGAUUUGACGGCGACCGGCGCACGGGUGCGUAACGCGUAUGUAACCUACCCUUAACAGGGGGAUAACACUGAGAAAUUGGUACUAAUACCCCAUAAUAGUUUAGAGGGCAUCCUCUGGAUUUGAAAGUUCCGGCGGUUAAGGAUGGACAUGCGUUGUAUUAGCUAGAUGGUGAGGUAACGGCUCACCAUGGCGACGAUACAUAGGGGGACUGAGACGGUUAACCCCCCACACUGGUACUGAGACACGGACCAG
rnacentral:rRNA from 1 species